rnacentral:rRNA from 1 species
GUAGGGAAUAUUGCAAAAUGGGCGAAAGCCCGAUGCAGCAACGCCGCGUGCGCGAUGAAGGCCUUCGGGUCGUAAAGCGCUUUUUAGAGGGAUGAGGAAGGACAGUACCUCUAGAAUAAGUCUCGGCUAACUACGUGCCAGCAGCCGCGGUAAAACGUAGGAGGCAAGCGUUAUUCGGAUUUACUGGGCGUAAAGCGCGUGCAGGCGGUUUGGUAAGUUGGAUGUGAAAGCUCCUGGCUCAACUGGGAGAGGUCGUUCAAUACUACCAGACUAGAGGGCGGUAGAGGAAGGCGGAAUUCCGGGUGUAGUGGUGAAAUGCGUAGAUAUCCGGAGGAACACCAGUGGCGAAAGCGGCCUUCUGGACCGAUCCUGACGCUCAGACGCGAAAGCUAGGGUAGCAAACUGGAUUAGAUACCCGUGUAGUCC